GGGCGGGCCAAAACUCCCAGGGGGGGCGUGGCUUGUAAAGGAGGCCCCUCCCCCUCCUCUGUAUAUCUGGGUCUGGGGGGCUCCCAAGAGUGGCGGAUCUUUAUUGGGUGGGGGGGUUGUUUUAAGCACUGUUAGGCUGUUCUAUGGGCCGGGCUCGGGAGGUCCAUAGGUCUUACGAAUGGGGUCUUCGUGCCUAUGGUGCCUGCUUUCACAGUGAUUUGGGGGGGGGUCUUAGUGGUCUCAAUGGGGGGGGGUCCCUCAUGGGGGGGGCUAUGGGGGUCCUAAAGCUCCAUAGGGGAUAAUGGGGGGGUCUUAAGACUCCAUAGUGGUGUAUGGGGGGGUCCCAGGGCUCCAUAGGGAACAAUGGGGGCAGGGGUCUUAAGGGGGGUCCCACAUCUCCAUAGGGGUCUCAGUGAGUCCAUAGGGGUCCGGGGGGGUCCCACAGCCCCAUAGGGCUCCAUGGCUGCUCCCGGUGCCAUUCCCGGUUCCGAUCCCGGUUCAGAUCCCGGUUCCAUUCCCCAUUCAGAUCCCGGUUCGGAUCCCGGUUCGAUUCCCCCUUCAGUUCCAUCCCGUUCAGUUCCCGGUUCCAUUCCCCGUUUAACUCCCGUUUCGGCUCCCGUUUCGGCUCCCCGUUCACCUCGCUCCCGUUCGCCUCCAUCCCGUCGUUCCUCCGGUUCCAUCCCGUCUCCAUCCGGUUCCGUUCCGUCCGGUUCCCCCCUGUUUCCGUUCCUGAGGCUGGCGGCCAACACGAUCCCCUGCACGGCGGCGUAGGCGGCCCCGAGCGGCAGCAUCAGCUCCUGCAGCACCAACCGGAGCCCGGCGGCCGCCAUGAUGAACGCGGCCAGGCCUUGACACCAGGCCCCGGCCGCUCCGUUCAACCCUAUGGCCGUUAA
rnacentral:lncRNA from 1 species